rnacentral:lncRNA from 9 species
GGAUGGAUUAAAAAAAGAGUAUAUUCAUACAAUGAAGUAUCAUCCAGCAAUAAAUAGGAACAAAAUAGGUAAUGCCGUUUAUGAAAUGGAUAGAACUCAAAAACAUGACCAGAGGCAAAAGGUCACAUGUUGUAUGUUUCCAUUUUUAUAAAAUGUCCUAUUAAGACAGAACUAUACAGAGUGAAAGUAGAUUAGUGGAUGCCUGGGACUCAGAUGUGAGCAGGGAAUGACUACAAAUUGUCAUGAGGGGUCUUUCCGAAGUGAUGAAAAUGUUCUAAAAUUGGAUUGUGGUAAUAGUUGCACAGCUAUGUAAAUUUACUAAAAUCAUUGAAUUAUAAGCUUAAGCAGGUAGAUUCUGUGGUGUGUAACAUACACCUCAAGGAGCUAUUUAAAAGGAAAGAAAGAAAUCAAAUGAAGGAAAGUUGAAGUUCCCGUCGUGGCUCAGUGUUAAUGAAUCUGACUAGGAACCAUGAGGUUGUGGGUUCGAUCCCUGGCCUCGCUCAGUGGGUUAAGGAUCCGGCAUUGCGGUGUGCUGUUGUAUAGAUUGCAGAUGUGGCUCAGAUCCCUCAUUGCUGUGCCUGUGGCAUAGGCAGGUGGCUACCGCUCUGAUUAGACCCCUAGCCUGGGAACCUUCAUAUGCCGCAGGUGCAGCCCUAGAAAAAAGACAAAAAGACAAAAAAAAAAAAAAAAAAAAGAAGAAAAAGAAGAAAAAGAAGAAGGAAAGUCGCCAAGCAACACAAAACCUGAUUUAAAUAAAUGGAGAGAUAUGAAGUUCCCGUUGUGGCUCAGUGGUAACAAAUCUGACUAGGCACCAUGAAGUUGUGGGUUGGAUCCCUGGCUUUGCUCUGUGGGUUAAGGAUUCUGUGUUUCCGUGUAGGUCGAAGACGCAGCUUGGAUCUGGUGUCGCUGUGUCGUAGGCUGGUGGCUGUAGUUCUGAUUGGCCCCCUAGCCUGGGAACUUCCAUAUGCCGAAGAAAGAAGAAAAGAAAAUGAGAUCCUCCAAGAACUGUAAUCAGCUCCGACCCAGAUUCCUAUGGAACCUCCGCUUCGCCCCAGAACCUAGUACGCAUGAAAGCCUGUAUGCACCUUUCAAGAAUGGAGUCUCCAUUUCUCCCAGUCCUGUGGGGCUCCUGCUCACAAGCCCCCCUGGCCUUCAGUGCCAGGUGCCCCCGGGGGCUCUGCCUACCAAUCCCAAAUACCCAGGCAUGGGGACCCGACGUGGGGCUCAGAACUCUCACUCCUGCAGGUGAGUCUCUGUGAUACAGUUACUUUCCACCUGGCGGGCAUGGGGUUGCUGAUAUUGCAUAAUUGCCUCUCCUACCUCUUGAUGUGGCCUUCUCUUUGCCUUCUAGAAUAGGAUAUCUUUUUUUUUUUUUUUGUCUUUUUGCCAUUUCUUAGGCCGCUCCCACGGCAUAUGGAGGUUCCCAGGCUAGGGGUCUAAUCGGAGCUAUAGCCACCAGCCUACACCACAGCCACAGCAACACGGGAUCCGAGCCGCGUCUGCAACCUACACCACAGCUCAGGGCAGCGCGGGAUCCUUAACCCACUGAGCAAGGCCAGGGAUCGAACCUGCAAUCUCAUGGUUCUUAGUCGGAUUCGUUAACCACUGUGCCACGACGGGAACUCCUGGAAUAGGAUAUCUUUUUGAAAGUUUCCAGUCCAUUUGGUUGAAGCUUGUUCAGCAUUUGGUUGUAAUUCUCUUGUUUUUAUGAGAAAAGGUGAACUGCAGUCCUUCUAUUCCACCAUCUUAAUCCCAAAAGCCUUCAUGUUUUACAUUUAGAUUUUAAAUUUGUCUGCAGUUCAUUCUUUGUGGUGGAUGAGAUACGGAUCUAAUUUUUUUUUUUUUCACCCACAAAUGGCUACCCAGUUAUCCCAACAUCAUUUGUUAAGAAGUCUAUAUUUUUUUAAAAUACAUGUAUUUUUUAGUUCAUACAUAAUAGAAUGACAUUUAUAAAUGUGUAUUUUGCUGUGUAAUGUAACCAAGAGACUGUCCUGGCAUCAUAUCUGAGUGUUUUGUGUGCGUGUGUGCUUGAUGAGGUGAGAAGCAGACUAUAUAUACACAGCCUUUUAAUCAAGCCCUUUAGUGUUACAUACGUUUUUGUAAUUUCCUGACUGGUAUAACUGUUUAUUUUUGAAAAAGUUAGGUGAGGAUAUUGCAUAGAAGACUUGAUUAACCUUAUAAAGUUAAACUGCAAUCAUAGACUUUUAGGAAAGGUUAAUGGUGAAGCUUAUAUAAAAAUACUAGAUUUAAGUAAACUCCAAGUUGGCCAACUCCAAGGAUGUAUUCUAUGAAUGUCAUUAUUUUGAAUUGAGACUUAAUGCUUAACAUUCCUAGAUUAUAUUUUAAGUGUUUGACAUAAUUUGUUGAAAGUGUUUAUUUUCAGUGUUUCUUUAAAUUUAAAUAAACCUCAUAUUUAAAAUGUCAAAAAAAAAAA